rnacentral:rRNA from 1 species
UACGUAGGGGGCAAGCGUUGUUCGGAAUUACUGGGCGUAAAGGGCUCGUAGGCGGCCAACUAAGUCAGACGUGAAAUCCCUCGGCUUAACCGGGGAACUGCGUCUGAUACUGGAUGGCUUGAAUCCGGGAGAGGGAUGCGGAAUUCCAGGUGUAGCGGUGAAAUGCGUAGAUAUCUGGAGGAACACCGGUGGCGAAGGCGGCAUCCUGGACCGGCAUUGACGCUGAGGAGCGAAAGCCAGGGAGCAAACGGG